rnacentral:rRNA from 1 species
UUGACCUCAAAUCAGGUAGGACUACCCGCUGAACUUAAGCAUAUCAAUAAGCGGAGGAAAAGAAACUAACAAGGAUUCCCCUAGUAACUGCGAGUGAAGCGGGAAGAGCUCAAAUUUAAAAUCUGGUGGUCCUCGCGGCCGUCCGAGUUGUAAUCUGGAGAAGCGUUUUCCGCGUCGGACCGUGUACAAGUCUUCUGGAAUGGAGCGUCGUAGAGGGUGAGAAUCCCGUCUCUGACACGGACCGCCGAUGCUUUUGUGAUACGCUCUCGAAGAGUCGAGUUGUUUGGGUAUGCAGCUCAAAACGGGUGGUAAAUUCCAUCUAAAGCUAAAUAUUGGCGAGAGACCGAUAGCGAACAAGUACCGUGAGGGAAAGAUGAAAAGCACUUUGGAAAGAGAGUUAAACAGUACGUG